AUUGAACGCUGGCGGAAUGCUUUACACAUGCAAGUCGAACGGCAGCACGGACUUCGGUCUGGUGGCGAGUGGCGAACGGGUGAGUAAUGUAUCGGAACGUGCCCAGUCGUGGGGGAUAACGUAGUGAAAAUUACGCUAAUACCGCAUACGAUCUAUGGAUGAAAGCGGGGGAUCGCAAGACCUCGCGCGAUAGGAGCGGCCGAUAUCAGAUUAGGUAGUUGGUGGGGUAAAGGCCCACCAAGCCAACGAUCUGUAGCUGGUCUGAGAGGACGACCGGCCACACUGGAACUGGGACACGGUCCAGACUCCUACGGGAGGCAGCAGUGGGGAAUUUUGGACAAUGGGCGAAAGCCUGAUCCAGCCAUUCCGCGUGCAGGAUGAAGGCCCUCGGGUUGUAAACUGCUUUUGUACAGAACGAAAAGGUUUCUACUAAUACUAGGAGCUCAUGACGGUACUGUAAGAAUAAGCACCGGCUAACUACGUGCCAGCCGCCGCGGUAA
rnacentral:rRNA from 1 species